GACGAACGCUGGCGGCGUGCUUAACACAUGCAAGUCGAACGGAAAGGCCCUGCUUUUGUGGGGUGCUCGAGUGGCGAACGGGUGAGUAACACGUGAGUAACCUGCCCUUGACUUUGGGAUAACUUCAGGAAACUGGGGCUAAUACCGGAUAGGAGCUCCUGCUGCAUGGUGGGGGUUGGAAAGUUUCGGCGGUUGGGGAUGGACUCGCGGCUUAUCAGCUUGUUGGUGGGGUAGUGGCUUACCAAGGCUUUGACGGGUAGCCGGCCUGAGAGGGUGACCGGCCACAUGGGGACUGAGAUACGGCCCAGACUCUUACGGGAGGCAGCAGUGGGGAAUAUUGCACAAUGGGCGGAAGCCUGAUGCAGCAACGCCGCGUGCGGGAGGACGGCCUUCGGGUUGUAAACCGCUUUCGCCUGUGACGAAGCGUGAGUGACGGUAAUGGGUAAAGAAGCACCGGCUAACUACGU
rnacentral:rRNA from 1 species